AGGGAAUCUUCCGCAAUGGACGAAAGUCUGACGGAGCAACGCCGCGUGAGUGAUGAAGGCCUUCGGGUCGUAAAGCUCUGUUGUCAGGGAAGAACAAGUGCGGGAGUAACUGCUCGCACCUUGACGGUACCUGACCAGAAAGCCACGGCUAACUACGUGCCAGCAGCCGCGGUAAUACGUAGGUGGCAAGCGUUGUCCGGAAUUAUUGGGCGUAAAGCGCGCGCAGGCGGUCCCUUAAGUCUGAUGUGAAAGCCCCCGGCUUAACCGGGGAGGGUCAUUGGAAACUGGGGGACUUGAGUGCAGAAGAGAAGAGCGGAAUUCCAUGUGUAGCGGUGAAAUGCGCAGAGAUAUGGAGGAACACCAGUGGCGAAGGCGGCUCUUUGGUCUGUAACUGACGCUGAGGCGCGAAAGCGUGGUGAGCAAAC
rnacentral:rRNA from 1 species